rnacentral:rRNA from 1 species
GGAGCUUGCUCCCUGAUGUUAGCGGCGGACGGGUGAGUAACACGUGGGUAACCUGCCUGUAAGACUGGGAUAACUCCGGGAAACCGGGGCUAAUACCGGAUGCUUGAUUGAACCGCAUGGUUCAAUUAUAAAAGGUGGCUUUUAGCUACCACUUACAGAUGGACCCGCGGCGCAUUAGCUAGUUGGUGAGGUAACGGCUCACCAAGGCAACGAUGCGUAGCCGACCUGAGAGGGUGAUCGGCCACACUGGGACUGAGACACGGCCCAGACUCCUACGGGAGGCAGCAGUAGGGAAUCUUCCGCAAUGGACGAAAGUCUGACGGAGCAACGCCGCGUGAGUGAUGAAGGUUUUCGGAUCGUAAAACUCUGUUGUUAGGGAAGAACAAGUACCGUUCGAAUAGGGCGGUACCUUGACGGUACCUAACCAGAAAGCCACGGCUAACUACGUGCCAGCAGCCGCGGUAAUACGUAGGUGGCAAGCGUUGUCCGGAAUUAUUGGGCGUAAAGCGCGCGCAGGCGGUUUCUUAAGUCUGAUGUGAAAGCCCCCGGCUCAACCGGGGAGGGUCAUUGGAAACUGGGGAACUUGAGUGCAGAAGAGGAGAGUGGAAUUCCACGUGUAGCGGUGAAAUGCGUAGAGAUGUGGAGGAACACCAGUGGCGAAGGCGACUCUCUGGUCUGUAACUGACGCUGAGGCGCGAAA